UACAGAGGGUGCAAGCGUUAAUCGGAAUUACUGGGCGUAAAGCGCGCGUAGGUGGUUUGUUAAGUUGGAUGUGAAAGCCCCGGGCUCAACCUGGGAACUGCAUUGGAAACUGGCGAGCUUGAGUAUGGCAGAGGGGGGUGGAAUUCCGCGUGUAGCAGUGAAAUGCGUAGAUAUCAGGAGGAACACCGGUGGCGAAGGCGGCUUUCUGGACAGAUACCGACGCUGAGGCACGAAAGCUAGGGGAGCAAACAGG
rnacentral:rRNA from 1 species